GCAAUCCUGAGUAAGAAAAAGGUAACAGGAGCCAGGGGRCUGAAUAAAACCCAGAAAGAGCAGUAACUAGCAACAUCAUGUUCUCUGAUCCAAAAUCCGGACCUCAGUUCUGUGUCAGAACAUACUCGAGCAGCCCAUACUCACUUCUGUUCUGCACUUCUGUUAAGACAAGCUGUUAAGGAAGAAAAAAUGCUCUAUUUUUCUUUUAUCAUAAUCAGUGAAAAAGCUUCCUUGAAUUUUUAUCAUGUAAAUGACAAAUCAUUAAGACUUCUGUUCACAAAUCAGUGUCUAUUGUGUCGAUAUUUGGGUUAUAUUGUCACUGCACAUGGAUAUAUAGUAUUUG